UCUUUCCUGCGGUCAGGUUCAGGCGAGAGGCGGUCCUCAGGCUGAAGGCGUGGGGUCCCUGAGCUAAGUUAGCCGGCGGAAGAGAAGAGACCCCCGUCCCCGACCACACUGCUCUGGGAACUCGCGUAAUGACAUGGAAGGAUUGUCCCUGCUCGUGCCUUAUGGGUCUCCCGCCUUUUUUGCCCAGGACGUGGUCUCCUGCAGCUCAAACCUUCCUUGAGGAAGAGUCAAGACACCUUGGCCUUUUGGCCAAUCACGGUAAUCUAUCUUUGGAUGAAAAUCAGAUGCCCUGAGACUUGCAACUAGGAGAUUAUGCCUACUGGAAAAGACAUCAUUUAAAGGACUCUCUCCAAACUAGAUAAAAGGACCCUUAUCAGGUAUUCUUACCUAGUGCAAGUGCAGCAGAAUUGAAGGAAAUUGACUUCAUAUCUUCUACUUAAGAAGGGCCUCUGCACUGGGCCCUCUAUAGAAGAGACUGCUGACCACAAAUGACACCCAUACCAGGAUGAGAAGAAGACAACAGCAGUGGCAGGCAGCUGACCCAAGAAUCUGGACCAGGCCUAUAAGAACCGUUCAACUAAUUUAAUUGAACUGUUUACCAAAUGUGUGGCUUCCUAUCAAAAUGGAAAGUUAUUGUUUUACUUCUAACCAUACUUUUACUUUUAAAUUUUUUAAAUCUUUAUUGGAGUAUAAUUGCAUUACAGUAUUGUGCCAGUUUCUGCUGUACAACAAAGUGAAUCAGCUAUAUGUAUACAUAUAUCCCCAUAUCCUCUACCUCUUGAGCCUCCCUCCCACCCCUUUAGGUCUUCAAAGCAUCAAGCUGAUCUCUCUGUGCUCUGUAGCAGCUUCCCACUAGCUAUCUAUUUUACAUUUGGUAGUGUGUAUAUGUCAAUGCUAGUCUCUCUCUACGUCCCAGCUUCCCAUUCUCCCUCCCACCGCUGGUGUCCUCAAGUCCAUUCCGUACAUCUGCAUCUCUGUUCCUGCCCUGCUGUUAGGUUCAUCAGUACCAUUUUUCUAGAUUCCAUAUAUGUGUGUUAGCAUACGGUGUUUGUUUUUCUCUUUCUCUUUUGCUUCACUGUGUAUGACAGACUCUAGGUCCAUCCACCUCAUUACAUAUAGCUCAAUUUCAUUCCUUUUUAUGGCUAAUAUUCCAUUGUAUAUAUGUGUCACAUCUUUUUUAUCUAUUCAUCUGUUAAUCGACAUUUAGGUUGCUUCUAUGUCCUGGCUAUUGUAAAUAGUGCUGCAUUGAACAUUGUAAUGCAAGUAUCUUUUUGAAUUAUGGUUUUCUCUGGGUAUAUGCCCAAUAGUGGGAUUGCUGGGUCAUAUGGUAGCUCUAUUUUUAGUUUUUUAAGGAACCUCCAUACUGUUCUCUAUAGUGGCUGUAUCAAUUUACAUUCCCAACAGCAGUGCAAGAGGGUUCCCUUUUCUCCACACCCUCUCCAGCAUUUAUUGUUUCUAGAUUUUUUGAUGAUGGCCAUUCUAGUGUGAGGUGAUACCUCAGUGUUCAGACCAUAUUUUUAACUCCAAUGUUCAGGAUGGAAAGAAAACUCUUUAGUGAAGUUGUCAGGGUGUAACUGUUCAUGACAUGUAUUACUGCUUGCUUUGAGUGUACUGCUAAAAGCAUAUAUACAGUAUUUGAAUAACAAUUUAGUAUAAUUGGUAAAGUGUAGUGCCUAUAAAAUGUUUCUUCAUUAGCAUAUGUCUGGGCUUGUUCACUACGUUUGAUUA